GACAGAGGGGGCAAGCGUUGCUCGGAAUCACUGGGCGUAAAGGGCGCGUAGGCGGGAUGGCAAGUCGGUCGUGAAAUCCUUCGGCUCAACCGAAGAACGUCGGCCGAUACUGCCGUUCUUGAGGGAUGCAGAGGAGAUUGGAAUUCCCGGUGUAGCGGUGAAAUGUGUAGAGAUCGGGAGGAACACCGGUGGCGAAGGCGGGUCUCUGGGCAUCUCCUGACGCUGAGGCGCGAGAGCGUGGGGAGCAAACCGG
rnacentral:rRNA from 1 species